rnacentral:rRNA from 1 species
AGAGUUUGAUCAUGGCUCAGGACGAACGCUGGCGGCGUGCUUAAAACAUGCAAGUCGAACGAAGCCUUUAUUGGCUUAGUGGCGAACGGCGGAGUAANACAUAAGCNACGUGCCCCGACGACCGGGAUAGCCCCUCGAAAGAGGGAUNAANACCGGAUGUGGCCUUUUUGAGGCAUCUCAGAAAGACUAAAACGAGUAAUCGGCAUCGGGAGCGGCUUGUGGCCUAUCAGCUUGUUGGUGGGGUAACGGCCUACCAAGGNUUCGACGGGUAGNGGGUCUGAGAGGACGAUCCGCCCGACUGGGANUGAGACACGGCCCAGACUCCUACGGGAGGCAGCAGUUGGGAAUCUUGCACAAUGGGCGAAAGCCUGAUGCAGCGACNCCGCGUGGAGGACGAAGUCUCUCGGGAUNUAAAUNUUUUUGCCAGGCCCNAUAA